GGUGGUGUGGUGUAAUGGUAGCACGUCAGAUUGUGGCACAACUACAAUGGAUCUCUGUCAAUCUGGGUUCGAUUCCCAGCACCGCCA
rfam:Phialocephala subalpina strain TAMH 11012 genome assembly, contig: PAC_scaffold_003